rnacentral:rRNA from 1 species
UACAGAGACUGCAAGCGUUAUUCGGAUUCACUGGGCGUAAAGGGUGCGCAGGUGGCCGAGUGUGUUAGGCGUGAAAGCCCGGGGCUCAACCUCGGAAUUGCAUUCAAUACUGCUUCGCUUGAGUACUGGAGAGGAGACUGGAAUUUACGGUGUAGCAGUGAAAUGCGUAGAUAUCGUAAGGAAGGCCGGUGGCGAAAGCGAGUCUCUGGACAGUUACUGACGCUGAUGCACGAAGGCCAGGGGAGCAAACGGG